GACGGUACUUGAUGAAUAAGCCACGGCUAAUUCCGUGCCAGCAGCCGCGGUAAUACGGGAGUGGCAAGCGUUAUCCGGAAUUAUUGGGCGUAAAGCGUCCGCAGGCGGUUUUACAAGUCUGUCGUUAAAACGUGGAGCUCAACUCCAUUUCGGCGAUGGAAACUGUAAGACUAGAGUGUGGUAGGGGCAGAGGGAAUUCCCGGUGUAGCGGUGAAAUGCGUAGAUAUCGGGAAGAACACCAGUGGCGAAGGCGCUCUGCUGGGCCAUAACUGACGCUCAUGGACGAAAGCCAGGGGAGCGAAAGGGAUUAGAUACCCCUGUAGUCCUGGCCGUAAACGAUGAACACUAGGUGUCGGGGGAAUCGACCCCCUCGGUGUCGUAGCCAACGCGUUAAGUGUUCCGCCUGGGGAGUACGCACGCAAGUGUGAAACUCAAAGGAAUUGACGGGGGCCCGCACAAGCGGUGGAGUAUGUGGUUUAAUUCGAUGCAACGCGAAGAACCUUACCAGGGUUUGACAUCCUGCGAAUUCCUUGGAAACUUGGAAGUGCCUUCGGGAGCGCAGUGACAGGUGGUGCAUGGCUGUCGUCAGCUCGUGUCGUGAGAUGUUGGGUUAAGUCCCGCAACGAGCGCAACCCACGUCUUUAGUUGCCAGCAUUAAGUUGGGCACUCUAGAGAGACCGCCGGUGAUAAACCGGAGGAAGGUGUGGAUGACGUCAAGUCAUCAUGCCCCUUACAUCCUGGGCUACACACGUACUACAAUGCUACGGACAAAGGGCAGCAAACUCGCGAGAGCUAGCAAAUCCCAUAAACCGUGGCUCAGUUCAGAUCGUAGGCUGCAACUCGCCUACGUGAAGGAGGAAUCGCUAGUAAUCGCAGGUCAGCAUACUGCGGUGAAUACGUUCCCGGGCCUUGUACACACCGCCCGUCACACCAUGGAAGUUGGCCACGCCCGAAGUCGUUACUCCAACCCUUGUGGAGGAGGAUGC
rnacentral:rRNA from 1 species